GUCCCGGAAUGAUUGGCAUCCGUGCCUACGAGACAGGCGGAGGAAGCCUCUGGAUUGGCCGCCCUCCCUGCCACGGGACACGACGAUUGGCCGCACUCGGUGCCGGAAGUGAUGAGACCGCGGUCUGGAAACAAGGUUGUUGUCGAAGGAGCCAGAAGGUUAGCGCUGGCUUGUACCGGCUGGCCUUGCGCUGCGGACGCGAGGUCGUGUGUCCUGUAAGCCUGUGCGAGCUUCGAGAACGUCUCCAGCCGGCAGGAGGCUCUGGCGGGAGCAAAGGCAGCCGGGAUGAUCCCGCGAAGGAGAAAGGCGGCCCCGGUCCCCACCCGCGUUCCGGCUCUUUCCUGGAGGUGUUCCUGGACUGCGCUGCGCUCUGAGUCCCGAGAGCCACGGUUGCAACCGGGAUGUGGUGAGCUCCAGACUCUGCCCGGAGGUUCCUUAGAAUCCGCGCGCGCUUCAGCCGCCUCCCUUUCCCAGCUCAAGAAUCUGCACCGCGAUGGUUCAAGAACCCCCACCCCCAAAAAAAAAAUAACGAACUUCAGAGUUAGGCAGCAGAGUCGCAUCGUCAUGUGCCUGACUGUGAAAACACGUUUACAGAACGCGGAAAAGAUUAAUGAUGGUUUGCGUUAGUAGUGAUUUGGUUUGCAAAUUAGCUAAAAAUCCGAAUCCCAGCGCUGCAGUGACUGAGACUGGGGUAUCCGGAACUCAGAGUGCAUUGUUGUGUACAUUUCGAAUUCAAGGUCUGAGUUCCAUGAAACCUUUGUCUCAGAAAAAUGCAUAAAGUAAUUGUGACGAGUCUGGUAUGUUGGUAUAGACUUUUAAUCCCGGUACUUAGGCAGAGUCAGACCUCUUGAGUUCCAGGCCAGCUAGAGCUACACAGUGAGAGCCAAUUUCAUAAUAUGAAAUAUAAAGUAACAAGUAACCAGGGCUGGAGAGAUGGCUUGGCGGCUAAGAACGUGUGCUGCCCUUCCAGAGAACCAGAGUGUGGUUCUCAGCACCCACUUUUGAUAGCUUCACAGCCACCUUCAGAGGACCUGGCGUCCUCUUCUGACUUUUCAGGAACUCACACNNGUGUAGAGUGCUCACACAUANAGACUACAUAUAAAUCCUUCUUUUAAAGUACUUGGGACCUGGGNAGAUGACUUGUCGGNCAAAGCACUCACUGGCUGCUCUUCCAGAGGAUCUGAGAUCAAUUCCUGGCGUCUGUAACUCCUGUUCUAGAAGAUCUAACAUUGGCUAGGGGCUCCCAGACAUGCACUAGUACACAUAACAUAUACACUGACAAAACACUUAUGCACAGAAAAAUAAAAUCUACUAAAAAAAAAUGUUUUAAGUAAUCAAACUUCCAGUCUUGUCCUAUUUAAGUGCAUCUGUGUAUUUGUGAACCAGAAAAGCUAAGUGACUAAAAUCAAUAUUUAUACUUCUUUGUUUUGUUUGGUUUUUGACUUUGGGGGUUUUGUUUGUUUGUUUGAGACAAGUUUUCUCUGUGUAGCCCUGGCUGUCCUGGAAAUAGUUCUGUAGAUGGUUUGGGUAUUUUGUUUUGUUUCUGUCUUUUAUUGAACUGUGUAAACAAAGUCGUUACAGAGCACAGAUUAUGAAAUCAUGGAAUUGCACAUCCCGAAGUGGAUGGGACCUUAGAGGUGACCUUUCCCUUUUUGAAGCAAAUACAGAGUUUAGAGGACAUGGUAUGAUAAAACUGCCCUGCCCCUGUUCAUAAUUCCAGCUUUGUGAUGAGUAGUUGUGCUUGUAACCAUGGACACUUCAACUUUAGGUUAUUUUCCUGGUUAAACAGGAAUAACAGAUGGUGCCAAUUUCAUCAACAUGGGGCGAAGAGGAUGUGAAACCUGUAAAAUACAUGAGCGCCUACAUGAAAAAAAAAAGCUGUCUGCUGGAGUGUAUAGUGUGUGUAUUGUGAGAAGGCAGAGGACCUCUUUGUGGAGUUAGUUCUUUCCUUCAGCACUUAAUGUAAGUUUCAAGGAUCAUAGACUCUGGGGCUGGAGAGAUGGCUCAGUGGUUAAGAGUGCUGACUGCUCUUCAAGAGGUCCUGAGUUCAGUUCCCAGCAACCACAUGGUGGCUCACAACCAUCUGUGGUGAGUUCUGAUGCCCUGUUCUUGUGUGUCUGAGGACAGCUGCAGUAUACUCAUAUACAUUAAUAAAUAAAUCUUAAAAAAAAAAAAAUAGA
rnacentral:lncRNA from 1 species